UUGCUCGGGGAGGGAGCGGCCCAAUGGCCGGGCGCGUUGUUGCGCUGCAGGGCUGGCAGCAGAGGAGGCAGGAAGGGGACGGGGAGAGGGGGCGGCAGGAAGAGUUGGGAAACGUUGUGGAAUUCUGGAAUCUACAAUAAAAGAACUGAGGAAUAUUUUAAAGUUUGACAAAUGCAUUCCAGACUGGAAAACUGCUGCAUUAUUCCUCCUCCUCCUCCUCCUCCUUCUUUAGAGAACUGACUUCUUAAAACAGAGGUAAGAAAGGAGAAUAAGCUGUAAGAAAAUGCUGGGAUCCGAACGUGGUGUGGUGGAAGAAUGGCUAUCAGAAUUCAAGGCAUUACCUGAAAAUCAAAUCUCUGGUUAUGCAUCAACGUUGCACCGGAAAAAAUCACUGGUACCAGCUCUUUAUAAGGUUAUUCAGGACUCAAAUAAUGAGCUCCUGGAACCUGUCUGCCACCAGCUCUUUGAACUCUACCGUAGUUCUGAAGUUCGACUCAAGAGGUUCACGCUGCAGUUCCUGCCAGAAUUGAUCUGGGUUUAUCUGCGUCUUACUGCCAGCAGGGACAGACAGAGUAACGGUUGCAUUGAAGCACUGCUUCUUGGGAUUUACAAUUUGGAAAUUGCUGACAAAGAUGGGAACAACAAAGUUUUAUCUUUCACCAUCCCUUCAUUAUCCAAGCCUUCAAUAUACCAUGAGCCUUCUACUAUUGGAUCCAUGGCUUUGACUGAGGGAGCCCUAUGUCAACAUGACCUCAUCAGGGUGGUUUAUAGUGAUCUUCAUCCUCAGAGAGAAACCUUCACUGCACAGAACAGGUUUGAGGUGCUCGGCUUUCUCAUGCUGUGCUACAACUCUGCUAUUGUCUACAUGCCUGCCUCCUCCUAUCAGUCACUUUGCAGGAUGGGUUCCAGGCUUUGCGUGAGUGGAUUUCCGCGGCAGCAUGAGAAACGCUGGAAAGAAUUUUGUAACAGAGUGGUACUAGAUCCUGAUUUCAUGGUGCAACUGCUCACAGGUGUCUAUUAUGCCAUAUAUAAUGGACAGUGGGGUCUUGGCCAAGAGGUAUUGGAUGACAUAAUUUACAGAGCACAGCUUGAACUUUACUCUCAGCCACUGCUGGUUGCAAAUGCCAUGAAGAACUCGUUGCCCUUUGAUGCCCCUGAUAUGUCGCAAGAAGGCCAGAAGGUGCUGAAGGUGGAGCUUACUCCUACAGUGCCCAGGAUCUCUCGGACUGCCAUUACGACAGCUUCCAUCCGUCGCCAUCGCUGGAGGAGAGAAGAUGGCUUUGACUUCUCAAACGAGGCUGACUCAAGCAUUCCUGGCUCCCCGAUCCAGCACGGCUCCACAGACCUAGGGAUCAAACGUGAGCAAGAGGGGGAGGUGCUGGUGCGCAGGACCCCUGAGCAUGGCUCACCGGAGCCCACCUUGACAGCAGCCACAACAGAGGAUACUGAGGGUAUAAAUGGAAGAGAGGAAUCCGUGAACUUCAAUGAUGCUGACGAAGGAUUUUCAUCAGGAGCUUCCCUUAGUAGCCAGCCAGUUGGGACCAAGCCUCUAUCAUCCACAUCCCAGAGGGGCAGUUUAAGGAAAGCAGCAAGUGGGCAUUCAGCUAAGGAUAAAGAAACAUCACCUGCCACUAAAUCCAAUGAAAGCCCUCGAGAUUCAGUAGCUCAGAAGCAGCACCUGCACCAACCAACUGACCUUACUGCAGAAACAAUUGAGAUGACACCUGCAAAGAAACACCUCAGCCUGCCUGCUGGGCAGGUGGUACCAAAAGCCAGUAGCUUGAGCCUAAUCCGGACCGCCAGUGCUUCCUCCAGUAAAUCAUUUGACUAUGUGAAUGGUGGUCAAGCAGCUUGCAUUGUUGGGGUUGGCACUGAGGGUGUUACUAAUCUAGCAGCUGGCAAUUCCAAUCGGUUUUCAACUAUCAGUCUACAGGAGGACCGGCUAGGCCAAGCUGGGGAAGGACACAGGGUCAUUCCGCUUACACACUGGAAUUUGGAAAGGCCAAACCUGUUGAAAUAAUUCAAAAGUGGGAACGAGAGACACUUUCCCAGAAAUAAUUAACUACUAGCUCUGCUUCUAUUUGUGUGAGGUGAUGAUCACUGAAUUGAAACAAGCACAUAUUCAGAUGUUCCACACUGUGGACUGACAUGAUACAUAAUAACUUGUCCAAAGGAUCCUUUGAGUGCUUCGUGUCAGAUGUUCACUGAUCAACCUCUCUAUGUUCUGGAAUGACUCAUCCAUUAACACAAAUGAAGCAGCCAUUAUAAUGUGUCAUGUCAGUGCUAUAUAUCAUUAAUGCUUUUAGAUGUGUCCAUCAAUCCAUGUCAAGGUAGUUGUGAAAUAUGAUGUAUUAAGCUUUGGUGAACUUCAAAGUACUGUGGCAUUAAUUGAAAUGGAAAUGCUUGGGAUACAAACAAAGAAUAAUUAGAGUUGACUUUGGAGGGUAUUGUAUGCUACUGUUAAACUAAGUAAAAAACUAUUAAAAUAAUAGGUUUCUGACAAAGAUUUAGACUUAAGUUCUUUUUCCUUACCUCACUCUAUUGUCUCUCCGUAAUUAUAAUGCAUUUAGUAUGUAACAUCAUGCACUAGUUUUAGCCCCCUGCAAUAGUUGAAUACAGUUGCAGUAUACAAGAGGUCAGAAUGUAGAAUACGACAUUCCUCCUUAUCUGAGAUAGUAUAUAUGCACAGAUCUGAAGUGGAGAACCAUGGGUACUGUAGCUAGGUGUAGAUACACAUUUAAGUAAAGAUAAAUGUAUUAUCUCUUGAUUUUAGCAUAACUGUGUACAAUAAUAUGCUGGCAUUUGUAAUUUGUUCUUUUUUCUGGGGCUUCAUAAUUUAAGGAAAUAUAAAAUAACAGGCGUGCUCAUUAAAUCUUUGAUUAGCUUUUAAGCUAUUUCAAGUGGCAUUUUGCUUGAGCUGUGAGCCAUUUUUCAUGCAGGCAGCAAGAUGACAAGUAAUAGCUGUUUAAACGAAUGUUGCAAGUGAAGAUUAAAUACUCUACUAUCCAUCCAUUUAGUAUAGUUUUCAGAAUAUUGAGACUUUAUACCUUAUUGUACAUCUCAAAUACCGAUUUGUGAUGUGACCUUGAAAAAGCUUUUUUAGGAGUGUGGAGCCUGUCCCUCCAUUCUGCAGCAGUGACCAUUUUAUCACACCAGUUAUGUAUUAUAUCAGAUAUUUGUAUGGUUUGCAAAUAUAAUAGUCUCAGAUAAAUAAAUCUGACAUUUCCAAAUAAAUUCUCGUAUUUCUUACUAGCUUUUAAGGUAAUUAAAAUCAUCUGUUUUGACAUUGGAAUAGUGAAAAUACUGUUUUCUGACAAAAUAUUUUAUUUGCAUUACUUUUGUGAAUAGUAGAAUGUACUGGGGCAGAGCUUUUUCUCACCAUGUGAGGUUUGUGUGUGGGUAGGUACAUACAUUGUCACAUGUUGACAAUCAAUUGCCUCAGUUGUGUGUGUAUUGUAUAUAAAUGUAAACAUAUUAGAAAAUUUUGGGAGUAUGAUCCACUACUAAUUAGUGGCAAAUAAAAGGGGGUUGCUUUACUUUUUGGAUAACUAGUAAUUAAUUUUAAAGCUUAGUUCAAGGGGGAAAAAAAAUCAAAAUAAUGAUAAAAGGUUCACAAAUAUAUUUUGAAAUUAAUUUUGGAACAGAUGAUUUAAACAGUUUAAAUUUUUUGUUGUUCCAGAUAAGCCAGUUGCUACCUGCUUUUAAGAUUUAAGGUGUUUUAAUUUCUUAACCCUGGAAACAAUUCACACAAAUGGAUUGAUAAGUAGUUUCAGUUUGAUUUUUAAUCAAAAAUAAAAAACUCUUGAAAAUCAAAACAACCUGAAGAUAGAAAUGACCAAAUUGACUGUUCAAAGAAAAGAAUUUUUUGAAAUUAAGUUAUACAAAAUACUGUCCCCCUAAAUUGUGGGGAAAAAAGUGAUAAAUAGAAUAUGAGCUAAGCUAUUAUUUAUUAUGCACUGUACAAACAGAACAAAAAGACAGUCUUGAUAUUUUAAAUACUAAAUCAUACAAACCCUAAGUUGUUGCAAUCUAGCAUUGCCUAACUCUAAGACAUGUUACCUUAAUAUGUUAAACUUACUAUCAAGUGCAUUAGGUAUAUUUAUUGUAUCCAUUGGCAUUGUGAGAGUAGAAUUGUAGACAGUGAACAUGUAUUUUUAUUUCUCGAGUCAGGAAUGAUUGCAGAACUCAAGGCGCAAAGCCAUUAGUAACCUGUGCCAGUCCAUUCCAAACAUGUAAAAUAAAAAGGGCAAAUUCACUGUAGUGUACAUGCACCGAGUAUUCAGCUGAAACCAGACCAUACAAUAUUUGGUAUCUUGUUUGGUAUUUUAAACCUAGUGUUUUGUUUCUAGGACCUGGGCCUUAUUGAAAAUUCCUUUGUUUCUCAUUUAUUCUUUAUAGCAUUUGGAUAAUCAAGGUUGUGCAUUGCCUGAAAGUUUAUUUAGAUAAUUUCUAUGGCUGAAGUAUAAAUGAAUAUAUAAACCCUUCUUUCAAAAUUGUCAUAAUAGAUCAGCUGAGAGCCCAGUAUAUAUACCAGCCUAUUACAUUUUGAUGGAAGACAAUGGAGAGGAGUGGGGGAAACUGAUCCAUCACUGGUACAUCAAAACAAAACACAAGUGAGUGUGAGAAUAAAAUUUUGCAAGGCUGGCAUAUAUAUGUUCAUAUGACCAUUGCUAAUAUUUUUAAUAUGGCUUUUUAAAAUCCUGCCUUAUUAAGCCGAGCUUGCAAAGCAUAAAACAGGAAGAAAGAAAAUAGCUGUAUGCACUUAAAAUAAUGAGUAAAUUUUACCUGA